rnacentral:rRNA from 1 species
GACGAACGCUGGCGGCGUGCCUAAUACAUGCAAGUCGAACGCAGUGGGGACGGGUGAGUAACACGUGGGUAACCUCCCAUCAGAGGGGAUAACACUUGGAAACAGGUGCUAAACCGAUACUGAUGGAUGGACCCGCGGUGCAUUAGCUAGUUGGUGGGGUAACGGCUCACCAAGGCCACGAUGCAUAGCCGGCCUGAGAGGGUGAUCGGCCACACUGGGACUGAGACACGGCCCAGACUCCUACGGGAGGCAGCAGUAGGGAAUCUUGGGCAAUGGACGAAAGUCUGACCGAGCCAUGCCGCGUGAGUGAAGAAGGUCUUCGGAUUGUAAAGCUCUGUUGUUAGGGAAGCGGUACCUACAGAGAAAGCAACGGCUAACUCCGUGCCAGCAGCCGCGGUAAUUC